rnacentral:rRNA from 1 species
UACGGAGGGUGCAAGCGUUAAUCGGAAUUACUGGGCGUAAAGCGUGCGUAGGCGGUUCGUUAAGUCUGUUGUGAAAGCCCCGGGCUCAACCUGGGAAUGGCAAUGGAUACUGGCGAGCUAGAGUGUGUCAGAGGAUGGUGGAAUUCCCGGUGUAGUGGUGAAAUGCGUAGAGAUCGGGAGGAACACCCGUGGCGAAGGCGGCUCACUGGGCCGGUCCUGACGCUGAGACGCGAGGGCGUGGGGAGCGAACGGG